AGCAUCAGGACAAUGCAAAAGGAGAAAUGAACAGCCUGUUCUAACAUGCCAAAAAAAUUCAGCCAUAAUGGAAUCCACAGAAACUGACAGAUAUUCAACUUCUUACAUCUAAACUAAAACUUCUGUAAUCACUAUAUUCUAUUGAAAAGGGAUAAAAAUAAGCUUUGAAAUAAUUUUGAAAACAAAGAUCUAUAUAGAGAAUACAUGCAAAUAAACUGAGCAAAUCAGUUGAUGAAUUCCUUUUUGGUAAAUCUUUUCUCCCAAAUUCAUCUGGAUGAUGUCAAACAUUAAAGUUCCUAAAACCA
rnacentral:lncRNA from 1 species